rnacentral:lncRNA from 1 species
GUUCAUUAUUGUUGGAGAGUGAUGUAAACUAAGAACUUCUUGUAAAUGCACUUGUGUUUAAAUGAAAAAUGCUUCAUUCAUUGCUUGUUGGUGUUUUUGUCUUUCUCUUAAUGCUAGUUAUGACUUGAUCAACCAUAGCUUGAUUGUGGGGUUUACUUAAUGUUGGGAAACUUUGGGUGAACCUUGAACUAGACUAAAUACCUAAGGGAAAUAGUGUCUAGGGAUAGAACUAGGAUCUUUAGUUGUCAUAAACUUCUUUUCUUAAUACGGGUGAAUUUGGUGGAUUACCAAGGGAUUGGGAUUUAACAAAUGAACCUAGGCUAACUCACCAAGGGAUUGGGUUUUAGUAAAUUAGCUAGUUGACAAGAACAAGUAAUUGAUGAAGGGUAUUGUAGUGCAUUUGCAUAGCAAGGAAUUAGUUGAAAUCAUUCUCCAACAUGUUCAUUCCACAUAGUUAUCAAUCAUUUUCAUAUUCACUAGUUUUGGCCUCAAGUAGUUCAAAUUUUACUUAUGCAUAAAUUUUACUUUCAUUGCAUUAUACCAACCAAAAAAUG